GGAGAGGUGGCAGAGUGGUCUAAUGCGGCGGUCUUGAAAACCGCUUCCCGCAUCGCGGGACGGGGGUUCGAAUCCCUCCCUCUCCGCCA
rnacentral:tRNA from 1 species